CACUGCCAGAGAUGCAAUAAGUUUAUAGCAAGUGUGUGAAUGAUCUAAUGAAUAUGAAAUAAAAUAUUUAGCUUACAGUUUUUCUCAGAACAGAAUUUAAUUUAUCAAACUACUUGUGCACACUUCAAAUCAUUGCGUCACUUGCGCAUUUAAAAAAGUAGCUUCUUAUUUUGUUCAAAAAAUUGCAAAUGACAGACAAAUAAGAACAUGUACAUAAAGAAGUCACAACCCAAAUCCUCAACAGUACUUAAUAUAGAGCUUCAUUUAAAACGUCCAGAGGCUGGAUUUUGGGUUCUGUGUGGGGUUUGCCUUCCUCAGUGUCCUCCAGGGGGAGCCAAUGAGCCGCUGUGGAGGAUGGACCUGCUGUACAUCUGGCACACCUGCAAUUCAUCUGGGCAAAUCAGCCAGAGGAUAAGAGGAGUUUGUUGUCAUUCCCUCGACGCUCGAGUGUUAGCCUUUAUGGUUUCUUCUGAAGAAGUUCUUGGAUUCCUCCCUCCAAAUACCUUUGGUCUCUACCUCCUGAUCUCAUUCCACAGCUGGCAACACUCAACUCCUCUUCCUCAUACCUGCAAACCUGUCCGUCCUCCACCAUCCAGCAGUUUUCCCUCUGGACUGUCUCAAGAUCUCCCUGACACCAAGAUCCUUCCCCACAUUUUUCAUUUUGACAAGAUCUUUGGAAAACUUAUCUCUCUUCCUCUUCUGCAGUGUUGCUGUCCUUCCAUUCCUC